GGGUUGAGGGUGUCACCAUCACGAUCGCCAUGCAUGAGAAUGCUGCCACUUAUAGCCUGAGUCGAGGGUGUCACCAUCACAAUCGCCAUGGAUGAGAAUGCUGCCACUUAUACCCUAAGUCGAGGGUGUCACCAUCACGAUCACCAUGGAUGAGAAUGCUGCCACUUAUACCCUGGGUUGAUGGUGUCAUCAUCACGAUCACCAUGGAUGAAAGUACUUCCACUUAUUCUCUGUGAAACUAUUGUGUCCGGUGUUUUGCAAGUGGAGCCCAAGUAUCCGCAUGAUCUUUGCCUCCGUGACACAAAUGGCCAUUAAACUGCCCUGGUAAAAUUCGCCCAAGAAACUUGUGCCAAGAUCGACGCGCUGGCCCCAUUUUAUCCAAAGGGGGCUUCAUGCAUGCGUCUCCACUUGUCGCCACUGGUAAAAACAUGCUGACGAGCUUGCCACCUGGCUGCAUCAAAGCUGAUUUCAUAGUCAAACUAUGAUCUGGAGAUCUGACUUUGAAAAUCGAGGGCUGUCUUUCCUUUUCACAUGCAGACCGUUGAUCGCCACCGCAGGCUGAGGAACAAAUAAAGCAAAAGGAAAUUCUGAGCAAGUCAUCGUCGCAUGUGUGCUUUAGUCACCGCGACCUAGCGACUUGGUCACGAAAGGUUACCAACGCUGGUGCAGGGGUGAGCACGCGCGUGCAUACCAUUCUGGCAGGCAUGACGGCACUCGUCCAUCGUGGCGAAGCGGGCGCCACCUGCCAGGCAGUGCUCCUCGGGAUGCCACGGCUGGCACCCUCUGGUCAGCGUGCAAACGUAGGCCGUGGACGUGCAGCGGGCGAAGCUUCGCACGCAGGCAUCGUCCUCCGCUGCGACCCGGCGAUGGAUCCGAGGCUCUGCGCGGCGGAGUGUGCUCACUGAACAGCGUGCUGCUCUGCCAUUGUAACCGCCCCGGCCACGGUCUAACGAAGCCGCGCAAAGGCAGGGACGUAGCCAGUUAAGAGCGCAUCGGGAACGUGCCUCCCCUUCCCCGAAAUGUCAGCGUACAAUGAGUAUUUGGCAAAUG